UACUGGCCGAGACAACACUGACCUGGACACUUGGGCUUCUGCGUGUGUGUGAGGUAAGCGCCGCGGCCUGCUGCUAGGCCUGCUCCGAGUCUGCUUCGUGUCUCCUCCUGACCCCGAGGCCCCUGUCGCCCUCAGACCAGAACCGUCGUCGCGUUUCGGGGCCACAGCCUGUUGCUGGACUCCUAAGACUCCUGCCUGACUGCUGAGCGACUGGUCCUCAGCGCCGGCAUGAUGAAGUUCACUGUGGUGGCGGCGGCGUUGCUG
rnacentral:other from 1 species